rnacentral:rRNA from 1 species
GAUGAACGCUGGCGGCGUGCUUAACACAUGCAAGUCGAACGGAAAGGCCCAAGCUUGCUUGGGUACUCGAGUGGCGAACGGGUGAGUAACACGUGGGUGAUCUGCCCUGCACUUCGGGAUAAGCCUGGGAAACUGGGUCUAAUACCGGAUAGGACCACAUUUUGGAUGGUGUGGUGGAAAGUUUUUCGGUGUGGGAUGAGCUCGCGGCCUAUCAGCUUGUUGGUGGGGUAAUGGCCUACCAAGGCGUCGACGGGUAGCCGGCCUGAGAGGGUGUACGGCCACAUUGGGACUGAGAUACGGACCAGACUCCUACGGGAGGCAGCAGUGGGGAAUAUUGCACAAUGGGCGCAAGCCUGAUGCAGCGACGCCGCGUGGGGGAUGACGGCCUUCGGGUUGUAAACUCCUUUCGCUAGGGACGAAGCGCAAGUGACGGUACCUGGAGAAGAAGCACCGGCUAACUACGUG